UAGGGAAUCUUCGGCAAUGGACGAAAGUCUGACCGAGCAACGCCGCGUGAGUGAAGAAGGUUUUCGGAUCGUAAAACUCUGUUGUUAGAGAAGAACAAGGACGUUAGUAACUGAACGUCCCCUGACGGUAUCUAACCAGAAAGCCACGGCUAACUACGUGCCAGCAGCCGCGGUAAUACGUAGGUGGCAAGCGUUGUCCGGAUUUAUUGGGCGUAAAGCGAGCGCAGGCGGUUUCUUAAGUCUGAUGUGAAAGCCCCCGGCUCAACCGGGGAGGGUCAUUGGAAACGGGGAGACUUGAGUACAGAAGAGGAGAGUGGAAUUCCAUGUGUAGCGGUGAAAUGCGUAGAUAUAUGGAGGAACACCAGUGGCGAAGGCGGAUCUCUGGUCUGUAACUGACGCUGAGGCUCGAAAGCGUGGGGAGCAAACAGG
rnacentral:rRNA from 1 species